rnacentral:rRNA from 1 species
UACGAGGGGUGCAAGCGUUGCUCGGAAUUAUUGGGCGUAAAGGGUAGGUAGGUGGUCUUAUUUGUCUGGGGUGAAAGCCUUGAGCUUAACUCAAGAAGUGCCCCGGAAACGGUGAGACUGGAGUCCUGGAGAGGGUCGUGGAAUUCCCGGUGUAGCGGUGAAAUGCGUAGAGAUCGGGAGGAACACCAGAGGCGAAGGCGGUUCUCUGGGCCUGUACUGACGCUGAGGAGCGAAAGCGUGGGGAGCGAACAGG